GAGAAGACACAUUGCUGUGUGAUUUAUGGAAAAAAGGAGGCUUAAUCCUGCACAAUUUAUUUAAUAGAACCCUUUGGGAAAGCGGAGCGAGUUUCACGGUGCUACGCAACGAAAGUUUAAUGGCUCUCGUCUUGAGCAUAAUAAAGAAUCAAGCACCCGUCA